rnacentral:rRNA from 1 species
UAAUACGAAGGGGGCGAGCGUUGUUCAGAAUUAUUGGGCGUAAAGGGCGCGCAGGCGGUUUGGAUAGUUAGACGUGAAAGCCCUGGGCUUAACCUAGGAACUGCGUUUAAUACUGCCAAACUAGAGAACUAGAGAGGAUAGCGGAACUCCCAGUGUAGAGGUGAAAUUCGUAGAUAUUGGGAAGAACAUCAGUGGCGAAAGCGGCUGUCUGGCUAGUUUCUGACGCUGAGGCGCGAAAGCGUGGGGAGCAAACAGGAUUAGAUACCCUGGUAGUCCACGCCGUAAACGAUGUGUGCUAGAUGUUGGAAGGAUACCUUGCAGUGUCGCAGCUAACGCGUUAAGCACACCGCCUGGGAAGUACGGUCGCAAGAUUA